rnacentral:rRNA from 1 species
CUGCAAGUCGAACGGCUGUAGCAAUACAGCAGUGGCAGACGGGUGAGUAACACGUGGGAACCUUCCUAGGGGUACGGAACAACUCAGGGAAACUUGAGCUAAUACCGUAUACGUCCGUGAGGAGAAAGAUUUAUCGCCCUUAGACGGGCCCGCGUCGGAUUAGGUAGUUGGUGGGGUAACGGCCUACCAAGCCUACGAUCCGUAGCUGAUCUGAGAGGAUGAUCAGCCACACUGGGACUGAGACACGGCCCAGACUCCUACGGGAGGCAGCAGUGGGGAAUCUUGGACAAUGGGCGCAAGCCUGAUCCAGCCAUGCCGCGUGAGUGAAGAAGGCCUUAGGGUUGUAAAGCUCUUUUGCCAGGGACGAUAAUGACGGUACCUGGAGAAUAAGCCCCGGCAAACUUCGUGCCAGCAGCCGCGGUAAUACGAAGGGGGCUAGCGUUGUUCGGAAUUACUGGGCGUAAAGCGCACGUAGGCGGGUUGUUAAGUCAGGGGUGAAAUCCCGGAGCUCAACUCCGGAACUGCCUUUGAUACUGGCAAUCUAGAGACUGGAAGAGGUUAGUGGAAUUCCCAGUGUAGAGGUGAAAUUCGUAGAUAUCGGGAAGAACACCAGUGGCGAAGGCGGCUAACUGGUCCAGUACUGACGCUGAGGUGCGAAAGCGUGGGGAGCA